ACAGAAUAGGGUUUACAACAAACCGCAAACUGCUGGAGAGCAAGAAAGUAGGAUUUACAACUACCGAAUACUGGGUAGAAACCACCAACUCUUGCUGGGGAACAAAGUUGUUCACAACCACAGAUUCCACAAAAGGGAAAAAAAGUAUAUACAUGAUUUACAACUACCGGUUAUUGGGUAGAAAACCACAAAGGAUAGGACUUAUAACUACCGGUUACUGGGUAGAAGGCCCAAAAG
rnacentral:lncRNA from 1 species